UACGUAGGGAGCAAGCGUUGUCCGGAAUCAUUGGGCGUAAAGAGCGCGUAGGCGGCCCGGUAAGUCCGCUCUGAAAGUCAAAGGCUCAACCUUUGAAAGCGGGUGGAUACUGCCGGGCUAGAGUCCGGAAGAGGCGAGUGGAAUUCCUGGUGUAGCGGUGGAAUGCGCAGAUAUCAGGAGGAACACCAACGGCGAAGGCAGCUCGCUGGGACGGUACUGACGCUGAGGCGCGAAAGCGUGGGGAGCGAACAGG
rnacentral:rRNA from 1 species